UGGGGAAUAUUGGACAAUGGGGGCAACCCUGAUCCAGCAAUGCCGCGUGUGUGAAGAAGGUCUUCGGAUUGUAAAGCACUUUCGACGGGGACGAUGAUGACGGUACCCGUAGAAGAAGCCCCGGCUAACUUCGUGCCAGCAGCCGCGGUAAUACGAAGGGGGCUAGCGUUGCUCGGAAUGACUGGGCGUAAAGGGCGUGUAGGCGGUUUGUACAGUCAGAUGUGAAAUCCCCGGGCUUAACCUGGGAGCUGCAUUUGAGACGUGCAGACUAGAGUGUGAGAGAGGGUUGUGGAAUUCCCAGUGUAGAGGUGAAAUUCGUAGAUAUUGGGAAGAACACCGGUGGCGAAGGCGGCAACCUGGCUCAUUACUGACGCUGAGGCGCGAAAGCGUGGGGAGCAAACAGG
rnacentral:rRNA from 2 species